GAUGAACGCUGGCGGCGUGCCUAAUACAUGCAAGUCGAACGCUGGAAAUCUAGCUUGCUAGAUUGAAGGAGUGGCGAACGGGUGAGUAAUACAUAAGCAACCUACCCACGAAGACUGGGAUAAUCUCUGGAAACGGGGACUAAUACCGGAUAGGUAAUCGGAAGGCAUCUUCUGAUUAUUAAAGGUUAAAAACACUGGUGGAUGGGCUUAUGGCGCAUUAGUUAGUUGGUGAGGUAACGGCCCACCAAGACGAUGAUGCGUAGCCGGCCUGAGAGGGUGAACGGCCACAUUGGGACUGAGACACGGCCCAGACUCCUACGGGAGGCAGCAGUAGGGAAUGUUCGGGAAUGGAGGAAACCCUGACCGAGCAACGCCGCGUGAGUGAUGACGGCCUUCGGGUUGUAAAGCUCUGUUGUAAGGGAAGAACGGUAGAUAGAGAAUAUCUAAAUGACGGUACCUUACCAGAAAGCCACGGCUAACUACGUG
rnacentral:rRNA from 1 species